rnacentral:rRNA from 1 species
UGAAUUUCCUAGGGGGCGUCAAAGCUUACCGAAGAAUAUCAAACUCCGAAUGCCGUGUAGAUGUUGUAUGGGAGUCAGACUGUACGAGAUAAGUUGGACAGUCAAAAGGGAAAGAGCCCAGACCUGCAGCUAAGGCCCCAAAAUGUGUGUUAAGUGGAAAAGGAUGUGGGAUUUCAAAGACAACUAGGAUGUUGGCUUAGAAGCAGCCAUACAUUCAAAGAGUGCGUAAUAGCUCACUAGUCGAGAGGUCCUGCGCCGAAAAUGUCCGGGGCUGAAACACACUGCCGAAGCUCAGGAAUGAUCCUAGAUCAUUGGUAGAGGAGCAUUGUAUACGGGACGAAGCAGUACCGAUAAGGAGCUGUGGACUGUAUAGAAGAGAGAAUGCCGGAAUGAGUAGCGAGAGGAAGGUGAGAAUCCUUCCGGCCGAAUAUCUAAGGUUUCCAGAGUAAAGCUGAUCUGCUCUGGGUAAGUCGGGGCCUAAGGCCAGGUCGAAAGACGUAACCGAUGGACAACAGGUUGAAAUUCCUGUACCUUAAGUAAACAGAACUGUGGGGACACGUGUGGAGAGCACAAGCCGGAAAUGGAAAAGCCGGUGCAAGCGAGGUAGGAGAUGAAUAGGCAAAUCCGUUCAUCAAUCCGAAGACGUGAUGCGGACCGAAUUAAGAGUAGGGAAGUGUGUGAGCCAUGCGUCAAGAAAAGCCGCUAUUGUUUUACUUAAGCCCGUACCGUAAACCGACACAGGUGGAUGAGGAGAGAAUCCUAAGGCCGACGGGAGAAGCAUUGUUAAGGAACUCGGCAAAAUGACUCCGUAACUUCGGGAGAAGGAGUGCCAGCGAGAGCUGGCCGCAGAGAAUUGGCCCAAGCAACUGUUUAGCAAAAACACAGGUCUAUGCAAAACCGUAAGGUGAAGUAUAUGGGCUGACGCCUGCCCGGUGCUGGAAGGUUAAGAGGAGAGGUUAGCGGUAACGCGAAGCUUUGAAUUUAAGCCCCAGUAAACGGCGGCCGUAACUAUAACGGUCCUAAGGUAGCGAAAUUCCUUGUCGGGUAAGUUCCGACCCGCACGAAAGGCGUAAUGAUUUGGGCACUGUCUCAACAAUGCACCCGGUGAAAUUGAAAUACCAGUGAAGAUGCUGGUUACCUGCGCCAGGACGGAAAGACCCCAUGGAGCUUUACUCCAGCUUGAUACUGGGAUUCGGUAUUGCAUGUACAGGAUAGGUGGGAGGCUAGGAAGUGAUAACGCCAGUUGUCACGGAGCCGCUGUUGGGAUACCACCCUUGCAGUAUUGGAUUUCUAACCAGCGACCAUGAACUGGUCGGGGGACAAUGUCAGGUGGGGAGUUUGACUGGGGCGGUCGCCUCCGAAAGGGUAUCGGAGGCGCUCAAAGGUUCCCUCAGAAUGGACGGAAACCAUUCGAAGAGUGCAAAGGCAGAAGGGAGCUUGACUGCGACACCGACGGGUGGAGCAGGUACGAAAGUAGGACUUAGUGAUCCGGUGGUAUAAAGUGGGAUUGCCAUCGCUCAACGGAUAAAAGCUACCCUGGGGAUAACAGGCUUAUCACUCCCAAGAGUUCACAUCGACGGAGUGGUUUGGCACCUCGAUGUCGGCUCAUCGCAUCCUGGGGCUGAAGUAGGUCCCAAGGGUUGGGCUGUUCGCCCAUUAAAGCGGUACGCGAGCUGGGUUCAGAACGUCGUGAGACAGUU